CAAUUUUUCAAAUUUUUCAACAUUUUCUAUUGCUUCCUUUCAUUGUUCAUCCUUUUUCUUCAAGUCUCAAUUUAAAGGUCAUGUCUUCAGGGCAACCAUUCCUGACUACAGUAUUUUUGUGUGUUUCAAUACUGUAUUUAUUUCCUUUAUGGCUGUUAUCACAAAAUCCAGUUUUCUUCUUUAUUGGUUUAUUAUCUAUUUUCCUUCUAUUAAAUUCCAUGUGAGCAGUGACAUUGCCAGUUUUUACCAUUGUAUUCUUAACUCCUAGGAGAUUGCCCAACAAUUUAAUGACAGAAUUAAUGGAUGGAUGGAUGGAUGGAUGGAUGGAUGAACGGAUGGAUAUACAAAUUCAGAGAUGUGACAGUCACAUGGAAUCUACACAUGGAAGGACAUAGGCAUUGCAUGCAGGUAUCCGGAAUCAUUGAUAUUGGUCUUAAAAUUUGGAAGUUUCCACUUUUGUUAAGCCCAAUGUGUUUGUUUCUGAUCAACUGGCCCAGUUAUCCAGUAUUGAAAGUCCAUCUGGGAGACACAGAAGGGUGAGAGCGGUGUAAGGGAUGAUAAAUUAUUUAAUGGGGGCAAUGUAUACUAUUUCAAUGAUGGUUAAACUAAAUGCCUAGACUUCACCACUAUACAAUAUAUCCACGUAUCAAAACUGCAUUUGUAACACCUUAAUUUAUAAUUGAAAAAAAAAGUUUAUCUUGGGGAAUACACAUAGCUUCUCUUAACUGUCUUGGUCUGGGAAUGACACAUGGCAUUUCUUUUUUUCUUUUUUGGUAAUAGUUAAACCCAUGGGCCUACCUAGUUGCAAGAAGCUGGUAAUUAUAGCUUAGCUGUAUGCCCAGGGAGACCAAGAAAACCAGGUACUGAUUAACAUUUACAGUCUCUGUCAUACCCAUAAAGAAAAUAAUGAAGUGUUUCAGUUCAUUUUUUUCUGGCUUUGCCAUUUAAUGCUUAUUAAAGGUGUCAAUAUGUUUCAUAUGAAGGCAAAUGUAACAAUGAAAACAAAGCAUUACCAAGAAAAAUAAUAAUUAUCAAACAUAACAAUAUUUCCCCUAUAAUUAUAAUACCUGUAUUUCAAGAUAUGUAGUUCAGCCUUUGAAAUUAUGUAAUUCUACUUGGAUGGUAGUCAUGAGCCUUGGCAGAUUAGACACCUGAGCAUUUGGGACUGAACUAAAUAGUUGGUCUUUACCUCAGUUCCAAAAAGUCAAAACGACAUAUGAAACAAUGUUUGGGAAUGUUGACUCUUCAUUCUAACAGAUUCAUUACUCGAAGCUUGAGCUACCCCCCCAUGUAUUAGGCAGCACAUAGCAUCUAUUUAUCCAGCUUCAUUCAGCUCAUAUUAUUUGACAAAAAGUAUCACAAGAAUGUAUUUUUCAUAAUUAUAUAGGACUUUCCCACUCUCCUGAAAUACUUUUCUCUUCCUUUGUAGCAACAUUAUCUUCCAAGGAGGCCUCCUGAACAUGUUCAAUGGCUCAAAAGACACUGUUUCAGAUCAGGACUGUAUAUGAAUGAAUGCUAUAGUGUUAUCAAACCAUUAACCUCUGAGCUAAUAUGAUUAUCUGUACUUGGGUUAGACAGGUGACAUCUCCACCCCAUCAUUUACUUUGCAUCAGAGAUUGAAUAAACAUCUGGAACUCUGCCCAAAUACCAAUGCACAUGAUGAUCAAUUAGUAGCACCAUUUUUUUUUGUUGCACUGUAUGCAUAAACUACAAAUGCCUCACACUGUUCCCAUUACAUCUUUUCAUCUGCAUAUUGACCAGCAUAAUCAAUAAAGGUCUAUUGGAGACUUUCUGUUUAGGAUCCAGCUUUGGGAGUAAAACUAAUAAUUCAAGAUUUUUUAAUGCAUAGAAAAUUGUCAUUUAUUACAAUUGUCCCUCAGUUUUUCCCACGAACUGAGAAAAUACACUGAACGUUUUCUGCCAUCUUGGACCACAUUAAUCACAAUGUCUUACCCAAUCCUGAAAAUCCAGUUUUAAUGCCUGGUCCUCAGAACCAUGAUGUAAAUGUUUUAGGUUAUAAGAAAAUGAAAAAUUUGUCUAGCCCAUUCAGUAAGUACAGUAGUACCUAGUGCAGCAUUAUCUUGAUUCACACUAAAGUCUAGUAGACUCAAAAUGGUUAACUCAAUAUUGACAGAAGUGCUGAAUGUUUCUAUUAAGAAGGUCUUCUCUGACUCCUUCCGACUACUGUUGGUUUAUCAUUGAGCUCUCUUAUAUUUUUUUCUCCAGAUAAAGUAGAAUCUGAUUCAUAGCAAUAUUGCAUGGUAUUGAUGUGAUCUAUUAACAGUUAAAAGUGGAAACAGUUCGCCUUGACAAUAUCCUUUGAACUAUUCAGUGGCACUCCACUUUAACACACAAACUUCAGUUUGCAAAUAAACUACAAUAUCUCUCUUUCAGACAUACUUUCUGUGCAAAAUUCCAUAAUCUUUUCACAUAAAUCCUCAUGGUAAAGAGCAGCCCGACAUCCUCAAGGAUCUCAUCAAUAUACAGGAAAAAAAAAAAAUAGAUAGUAGCAUCAAGUCCACAAACACUCUCAAACACAGCCUUUGCUUCAAGGAUUCCAAAAAGUAUUAAAGAAAAUGGUUGCCUCUAUUUCCCUUAAUUUUGAGUUCAUUUUAGAUCUUACUACCAGGCUGACUAAGCUCAGAUCAUAGAGGUUGGCAAGGUAGAAGUUAUGUUUGACAAAAAUGUUUUAAUGUCUACUGAAGCAGACAAAUUAAAUAAACAAGUAAUUGUAUAUGCUAGUAAGUGAAAAGAAGGAAGUACACCUUAUGCUUUAAUGGAGAGUACAUUUAUGUGCAGGAAAAUUUAAAGAAGGUGGUCAGGAUAGACUUAGCUGAAGAGGUCAUUGUGAUCUGAUAUUUUAAGAAGAAUAUGAGCAAUCUAUGCGCAGUGUAGGCAAAUAGUAAUUCAAGCAGAGGGAAUAGUAAGUAUAAAAAGCUGGAAAUGGAAAUGGGCUUGCUGUGUUGAAAGAAUAAACUUGAGUGAUGUACUUCAAGCCUACUGAGCCAUAGGAGAAUAGUGGAAGAUGUGUUUGGAGAUGGAGGCUGAACCAGUGAAUACAGAUAAAUUAUGAAAUAUAUUGUAUUUCAUUUUGAAUUAAAUGAGAAACUACCAAAUGUUUUAUUAAAAGAAUGUCAUAACAGAUAUUUGUUUCAAGACAUUACUGUAUUUGCUCCGUGAAGAAUUAAUCAGAUAAGAGCAAGUGUAGAACCUUGGAUAUCAUUUCAAUACUCUGUUAGGUAAUGGUUUCCAGAACGUGUAAGUUUGCAGUGGAGAUGGAGAAAAGUGAAUGGAUUUUAAAUAUAUUUUGGAGUUAAAACUCAUGGGACUUGCUGAGGAAUUGAAUAUGAGAUGUAAAGAGUAAGGGAAGAGGAUGAAUGAAGACUAAUACCUAGUGUUUUUGUUUUGUUUCAUGCGUUGGGUUAUAUUUUGGUAAAGUUGAUUAUGCUUGUGGAAAAUAAGAAAAAAUUGGGGGGGAGAGUGUGUGUUGAAAGCUCUGCUUUUGAUAUUCUUUGAGAUGUAUAGUAAGCAUCCACACUGAAACAUUCAGUAGGCCAUUUGAUGUGUAAGUCUGAAACUCAAGAGUGUGGUAUAUAGGGGAUACAAAAAAAUCUCAAGUCAUAAGAAUAUAGAUGGUAUUUAAAACAUGGAUAUUAAAUGUGAUCACCUAGGCUGAGAGAGGACAUAAAGAGGAGGGAUGAGAGGAUACCUGUGGAACUAUUUUAAUACUUAGUGUUUGGAUAGAAGAAGCCAAAAAUAUAUAGAACAUCAUGACCAGUGAUUUACAAGUAAAUGUGGUGGCAGAAAUGCCAAAAAAGAUUAUUCAAAAAAUAGAGGGUGAAUUUUGGCAAAGGUAGCCGAGCAGUGGAAUAUCGUAAAAACAGAAAAAUCCGUUAGAUUUUGGCAACAAGGAGGAUGUUGAUGACUUUGUACGGAACAGCUUAUGUAGAAUGGUGAUAUUAUGUGUUAUGCUAGAGUGAAUUGACUGAAGGAUGGCUUGAAUAUAAAAAAAAAUCCAAUUGGAUUAAUGGCUUGUCUAAAAUAAAAGGAAAAUGUACAAUUAAAUUAUUAUUAACUAUAGACACCCUGUUGUGUAACCACCCAACAGGUUCUCCUAGUCCACUGCUCAGAAAUGAUUUAUCAAGACAGGAGAACUGCAACAGAGAAAGAGUUUAAUUCAUGCAGAGCCGGCUGAAUGGGAGAAUGGAGUUUUAUUAUUACUCAAAUCAGUCUCCCUGAUAAUUCAGAGACUGUUGGGUUUUUUUUUGUUUUUUGUUUUUUGUUUUUUUUUGUGUGUGUGUGUCUAUGUGUGUUUUUAGGAUAAUUUGGUGGGUAGGGGAUUAGGGAGUGGGGAGUGUUGAUUGGCUGGGUCAGAGAUAAAAUCAUGGGAAGUUGAAGCUGUCCUCUUGUGCUGAGUCAGUUCCUGGGUGGGGGCCACAAGACCAGAUGAGAGUGGCACCUCCUGAUUCAUCGAAUGCAGAAUCUGAAAAAUAUUUCAUGCACCAAUUUUAGGUUUUACAACAGUGAUGUCUUCCCUGGGAGCAACUGGGGUGGUUUCAAAUCCUGUGGCCUCUAGCUGCAUGACUCCUAAACCAUAAUUUCUAAUCUGGUGGCUAAUUUGUUAGUUCUACAAAGGGAGUCUGGUCCGCAGGCAAGAAAGGGGUUUAUUUUGGAAACAGCUGUUAUCGUCUUUGUUUUAAAGUUAAACUAUAAACUAUGUUCCUUCCAAAGUUAGUUCAGCCCACACCCAGGAAUGAACAAGGACAGUUUCGAGGUUAAAAGCAAGAUGGAUUCAGUUAGGUCAGAUCUCUUUCACUGUCAUAAUUUUCUCAGUUAUGAUUUUUGCAAAUGUAGUUUCAGUUGUGCUAUCAAAUGCUAGGUCUUAUUCAUUCUUUCUAUUUUUUUGUACCCAUUAACCAUCCCCACCUCCCCUCCACACCCACCCACUAUCCUUCCUAGCCUCUGGUAACCAUGCUUCUGCUCUGUCUCCAUGAGUUCAGUUGCUUGAACAAAUGGAUUUCAGAGGAUGUAGGAAAUCACAUUGAUCUAUUAAUAAAAACAAUGAAAAACUUGAAAAUAACACAAAAAGAUAGGCAUGUGUUCUUUUAAUAACAUACUGAAGCAUCAUCUAAAAGGACACCCCAGGUAUUAUUUAAUUCUCUAAGGUAUGUACCUUUAUUAACAUACUAUUGUUUGUGCAUACACCUAUGAAGUUAAAUGUUAAUUUGUAUUUUUUAUGUGAUAAAGAUGCAAAUGAUUUCUAUCUGGUAGAACAAAGCAAUACGAUUUUAUUGUCCUAUAGGGCAUUAACUAGUUCUGAAUCUAAUAUAGCAAUUUCAUUCCAAAAGUCUUUCUUCAGUUUUAAUAAAUACUCCUCAGCUCUUCAAAUGUUCUUUGAAUCAGCCUUAUUAUUCUGCUGAUUAACUCUAUUAUAAGUUCAAUAAAUUUGACAUAUAUUUAUGUAUUCUACAUUUUUAUGAUAUAUUAGUUUGUUAGGGCUGCUAUAACAAAAUAGCACAGGCUGCA
ensembl:lincRNA